rnacentral:rRNA from 1 species
CGCGUAGGUGGCUCUGUUUGUCGCGUGUGAAAGCCCCGGGCUCAACCUGGGAGGUGCGCGCGAGACGGCGGGGCUGGAGUUCGGGAGAGGAGCGUGGAAUUCCCAGUGUAGAGGUGAAAUUCGUAGAUAUUGGGAAGAACACCGGUGGCGAAGGCGGCGCUCUGGACCGAGACUGACGCUGAGGCGCGAAAGCGUGGGGAGCAAACAGGAUUAGAUACCCUGGUAGUCCACGCUGUAAACGAUGUGUGCUAGACGUUGGGAGGCCUAGCCUCUCGGUGUCGCAGCCAACGCGGUAAGCACACCGCCUGGGGAGUACGGCCGCAAGGUUAAA